rnacentral:rRNA from 1 species
AUUGAACGCUGGCGGCAGGCUUAACACAUGCAAGUCGAGCGGAGAUGAGGUGCUUGCACCUUAUCUUAGCGGCGGACGGGUGAGUAAUGCUUAGGAAUCUGCCUAUUAGUGGGGGACAACAUUCCGAAAGGAAUGCUAAUACCGCAUACGUCCUACGGGAGAAAGCAGGGGAUCUUCGGACCUUGCGCUAAUAGAUGAGCCUAAGUCGGAUUAGCUAGUUGGUGGGGUAAAGGCCUACCAAGGCGACGAUCUGUAGCGGGUCUGAGAGGAUGAUCCGCCACACUGGGACUGAGACACGGCCCGGACUCCUACGGGAGGCAGCAGUGGGGAAUAUUGGACAAUGGGGGGAACCCUGAUCCAGCCAUGCCGCGUGUGUGAAGAAGGCCUUAAGGUUGUAAAGCACUUUAAGCGAGGAGGAGGCUACUGAGACUAAUACUCUUGGAUAGUGGACGUUACUCGCAGAAUAAGCACCGGCUAACUCUGUGCCAGCCGCCGCCGUAAAAC